rnacentral:rRNA from 1 species
CCUGGUUGAUCCUGCCAGUAGUUAUAUGCUUGUCUCAAAGACUAGCCGUCUGCAGUGCAGGCCGUAUUAGGCGAUACCGCGAAUGGCUCAAUAUAUCAGUUUUGGUUCCUUAGAUCUUACACAGGUUACUUGGAUAACUGUGGUAAUUCUAGAAACUAAUACAUGCAAUCGGAACUCUGACCAGUGAUGGAAUGAGUGCUUUUAUUAGAUCAAAAAUCGACGGAGGGCCUCGCGUCCGAUGUCGUUCAUUUUGAUGAAUCUGGAUAACUUUCGCCGAUCGCACGGUCCAGUACCGGCGACGCAUCAAAUGUCUGCCUAUCAACUUUCGAUGGUAGUUUCUGCGACUACCAUGGUUGUCAGGGAACGGGGAAUCAGGGUUCGAUUCCGGAGGAGCCUGAGACAACCUACCACAUCAAGGAAGCAGGCAAAUUACCCCCGGCACGGGGUAGUGACGAAAAAUAACGAUACAGGGACUCUUACGGGGCCUCGUAAUCGGAAUAGUACACUUAAACGAGAACAAUUGGAAAGUCUGGUGCCAGCAGCCGCGGUAAUUCCAGCUCAAUAGCGUAUACUAAAAUUGCGGUUAAAAAGCUCGUAGUGCAUUUGUGCCGCGCUGUCGGUGCACCACCGCACCUGCGUCUCACGACACCCUGCGGAUAAUCGUCGGUGAACCGUUCCGGGGCCGGUCUCGUAUCGGUACUCGGCGGUUCAAUCUUCAAAAUCUAUCGCGUUGCUCUUAAACGAGUGACGAGGAACCGACAAUUACUUUGAACAAAUUAGAGCUCAAAGCGGGCUAUGAACGCUGCUUGAAUAUUUCGUGCAUGGAAUAAUGGAAUAUGAUCUCGGUUCUAUUUUGUUGGUUUCAGAACUCCGAGGUAAUGAUUAAUAGGAUAACUGGGGGCAUUAUUGCGACGUUAGAGGUGAAAUUCUUGGAUCGUCGCAAGACAUCAACAGCAUUUGCCAAAGGUGUUUUCAUCAAUCAAGAACGAAAGUUAGAGGUUCGAAGGCGAUUAGAUACCGCCCUAGUUCUAACCGUAAAUAUAUGUCUAGCGAUCCGCCGACGUUAACACAACGGCUCGGCGGGCAGCUUCCGGGACCAAAGAUUUUGGACUCCGGGGAGUAUGGUUGCAAAGCUGAAACUUAAAGGAAUUGCGGAAGGGCACCACCAGGUGGGAGCCUGCGGCAAUUUGACUCAACACGGGAAUCUCACCAGGCGGACACCGGAAGGAUUGACAGAUUAACAGCUCUUUCUUGAUUCGGUGGGUGGUGGUGCAUGGCCGUUCUUAGUUGGUGGAGCGAUUUGUCUGGUUAAUUCCGGUAACGAACGAGACUCUAGCCUGCUAAAUAGGCGUCGUCAUUCCGGUGCGUUCGCGUCGCGCGGCUCUCACUGGCGGCGUUAUUAAAAUCUUCUUAGAGGGACCGGCGGCUUCGGCCGCAAGAUUGAGCAAUAACAGGUCUGUGAUGCCCUUAGAUGUCCUGGGCCGCACGCGCGCCACUGAAGGAAUCAGCAUGUUCUCCUGGCCUGAGGCGGGCAACCCUCUGAAACCCUUCGUGCUGGGGAUUGGGGUUUGCAAUUAUCCCCAUAAACGAGGAAUUCCUAGUAAGCGCGAGUCAUUCGCGUUGAUUACGUCCCUGCCCUUGUACACACGCCCGUCGCUACUACCGAUUGAAUGAUUUGGUGGGUCUUCGGACCGACACGCGGUCAGUCUAUCGGCGUCGCUGGGGAGUUGACCAAACUUGAUCAUUUAGAGGUAAAAGUCGUAACAAGGUUUCCGUAGGGGAACCUGCGGAAGGAUCAUU